rnacentral:rRNA from 1 species
AUUGAACGCUGGCGGCAGGCCUAACACAUGCAAGUCGAACGAGUGGCGGACGGGUGAGUAAUGUCUGGGAAACUGCCUGAUGGAGGGGGAUAACUACUGGAAACGGUAGCUAAUACCGCAUACCAUCGGAUGUGCCCAGAUGGGAUUAGCUAGUAGGUGGGGUAAAGGCUCACCUAGGCGACGAUCCCUAGCUGGUCGGAGGGGAGGACCAGCCAAACUGGAACUGAGACACGGUACAGCCUCCUACGGGAGGCGGCAGUGGGGAAUAUUGCACAAUGGGCGCAAGCCUGAUGCAGCCAUGCCGCGUGUAUGAAGAAGGCCUUCGGGUUGUCAAGUACUUUCAGCGGGGCGGCGUUACCCGCAGAAGAAGCACCGGCUAACUCCGUGCCAGCCGCCGCGGUAAUAC